rnacentral:rRNA from 1 species
UGAGGAAUAUUGGUCAAUGGGCGGGAGCCUGAACCAGCCAAGCCGCGUGAGGGAAGAAGGCCCUAUGGGUCGUAAACCUCUUUUGUCAGGGAACAAAAGCGAGUAUGUAUACUGGUCUGAGUGUACCUGAAGAAAAAGGCAUCGGCUAACUCCGUGCCAGCAGCCGCGGUAAUACGGAGGAUGCGAGCGUUAUCCGGAUUUAUUGGGUUUAAAGGGUGCGUAGGCGGCGGUGCAAGUCAGCGGUAAAAGCCCGGGGGCUCAACCCCGGCGAGCCGUUGAAACUGCAGUGCUAGAGAAGGCGAGAGGUACGCGGAAUGCGCAGUGUAGCGGUGAAAUGCUUAGAUAUUGCGCAGAACUCCGAUUGCGAAGGCAGCGUACUGGCGCCUGACUGACGCUGAGGCACGAAAGCGUGGGGAUCGAACAGGAUUAGAUACC